GAUGAACGCUGGCGGCGUGCCUAAUACAUGCAAGUCGAGCGAACGGACGAGAAGCUUGCUUUUCUGAUGUUAGCGGCGGACGGGUGAGUAACACGUGGAUAACCUACCUAUAAGACUGGGAUAACUUCGGAAACCGGAGCUAAUACCGGAUAAUAUUUUGAACCGCAUGGUUCAAAAGUGAAAGACGGUCUUGCUGUCACUUAUAGAUGGAUCCGCGCUGCAUUAGCUAGUUGGUAAGGUAACGGCUUACCAAGGCAACGAUGCAUAGCCGACCUGAGAGGGUGAUCGGCCACACUGGAACUGAGACACGGUCCAGACUCCUACGGGAGGCAGCAGUAGGGAAUCUUCCGCAAUGGGCGAAAGCCUGACGGAGCAACGCCGCGUGAGUGAUGAAGGUCUUCGGAUCGUAAAACUCUGUUAUUAGGGAAGAACAUAUGUGUAAGUAACUGUGCACACCUUGACGGUACCUAAUCAGAAAGCCACGGCUAACUACGUG
rnacentral:rRNA from 1 species